UACAGGGGGGGCAAGCGUUGUUCGGAAUUACUGGGCGUAAAGGGCUCGUAGGUGGCCAACUAAGUCAGACGUGAAAUCCCUCAGCUUAACUGGGGAACUGCGUCUGAUACUGGAUGGCUUGAGUUUGGGAGAGGGAUGCGGAAUUCCAGGUGUAGCGGUGAAAUGCGUAGAUAUCUGGAGGAACACCGGUGGCGAAGGCGGCAUCCUGGACCAAUACUGACACUGAGGAGCGAAAGCCAGGGGAGCAAACGGGG
rnacentral:rRNA from 1 species